AUUGAACGCUGGCGGCAGGCCUAACACAUGCAAGUCGAGCGAGCGGCGGCCGGGUGAGUAAUGUCUGGGAAACUGCCUGAUGGAGGGGGAUAACUACUGGAAACGGUAGCUAAUACCGCAUACCAUCAGAUGUGCCCAGAUGGGAUUAGCUAGUAGGUGGGGUAAUGGCUCACCUAGGCGACGAUCCCUAGCUGGUCUGAGAGGAUGACCAGCAACACUGGAACGGAGACACGGUCCAGACUCAUACGGGAGGCAGCAGUGGGGAAUAGUGCACAAUGGGCGCAAGCCUGAUGCAGCCAUGCAGCGUGUAUGAAGAAGGCCUUCGGGUUGUAAAGUACUUUCAGCGGGGAGGCGUUACCCGAAGAAGAAGCACCGGCUAACUCCGUGCCAGCAGCCGCGGUAAUAC
rnacentral:rRNA from 1 species